CACCAUCUUCGUCCUCCUCCUCGAUGUAGUUGACUUCCUCAUCGUCAUCGUCCACCCCGAUGUCAACACUUCCGUUGGAGUGGUCCAACUCUGAGGCGACUUGCAUAGUCAGCUCUUGCUCUUCCAAAAUGAACUUUCUCUCGUUCGGAUUCUCAUGAUCAAACGCUUUCUUAACCCGAAUAACCGGUUGGACACUUCCACUCGCAAAUUUUGGCUGGAUAUCAAACAAAUCUGCUAACGGGCCCUCAAUUCUGAGCGUAAAAUCGCUGAAGGUCCCCUAAAACAAAACAAAAAAUUGUUUAAAAAUCAUAAUUUUCUCUAUGCAAAUCAUUCUCUAAUUUCAUCAGUACCGUGUCUGCAUCCGAAAUGACCAUGCCCAAAUCCGGAAGUGGUGUCCCCACGCCAGUGUUUUCCCCAAUCUCGGUGAAAUACUCUUUCUUGUUGAACUUUGGCUCGGAAUCGUUCACAUCGUCAAUCAAAACGGUCACGUUUUUAGUCGUGGUGAGAAUAUCGAUGUCCGCCUGCGUCGAGAGGGUCAGUUCUCCCGGAUGAGGAAGCUCCAUCGCUUUAACUUCCAGGGUGAGCAGACUCCCCAACGUUUCACGGUCCAGGGGACGCUACGGACAAAGGAAAAUUAAACCCUAAAGUUCAAUGACCUUUCACCAACAGUGGCCGCGGAAUCUGUGGGACAUCUGGGGAUGUUAACACUGUAGGAUAGGGGAGGGAGGGGUUUAUAUAACAUGGGCAGAUGAUGAGGACAUCGAAUAACCGUGGGGACAUUGUCCCUCUGUCCCCACCCUUCCGCGGCCUCUGUUCACCAAACUACUUCUUACCGUUGUUGUUAGUCGGCCUGAUUUCGGGUCAAGUUGGAACACUUCUCCAGGAUCUUAAUUAUCAAUUAAUUAAUUAAUUCGCUAAUUAAGCUUAUCAAUUUUCUUUGAACUUGCUUACUUGUCAACAAACUCAGCCGAACGUCUCUGGGUUUCCCGAGGUCUCCGUCUCUCGCCUGGAUCAGCAUGACCAGCGUUCCGACAUCCGCGUCCUCCAUGACGCGACCUGCCAUCGCACCGGUAAAAAUUGGCGGAGUGUUUUGCACGUCACGAAUUCUCAACAGGAUUUCGACACUGCUUUUGUGUUCGCCAUCCUGAAAAAGAAAAAGUUUAAAAAAUAGUUUUAUUCAAGUUAAAAGAUGUGGACUUGAAAAAUCUUACCGAUGCCGUCAACUUGAACUGGUAGAGGGAUCGCUUAUUAAAGUCCAAGGCUUGACCGAGGCGAACCUCCCCCUUCAGAAGACCAGCCGUUGUUUCCUGCACCACCACGGGGAAUAUGGUACAAGCUUCGGGAGACUGAAAAAUAAUGGGUAAUUAUUAUUUUUUGUGUAAAAAAUCAUAAUUUUUUUAGAGUAUUUAAUUGUCGUUUAAAGUAUGUCAAAUUGUGGAUUAAAAUUACUGCCAGAUUUGGUUCACAAUGUAACAACUAUCUUAUCAUUAGAUUAUAAAAUCAAGACUUGUUAACUAUGUCUGGAAAAUGCAUGGUUUUUAGUAAGAUGCAAAUUAAAAUAUAUUUCGUAUUUAGUUUUGUAUAUUUUUAGUUAAUUGUUUUUACCAAACUACCAAGAGUUAUUAAAAAUUUUCAUUUCUAGUUAGAAUAGCCAAACAUCUUGCACAUAAAAAAUAUCCAAAUUCCUUCAAUUAUUUCAUAUCGACGGAAAAACCCAGCAAUAAAUAAAAUAAAACCAUUCAUAAAUUUCAAGGUCUUCUGGUUGUCAGAAGAAGACCUCAAAUAAAAAUUUGAAAGUUCUCACUCACUGCCCUCAUAAAUACAUACUUGUUAAAAAAUGUACAAAAUUGCGAAAUGCUCAUCACACUACAUUACUAUAAAAU